rnacentral:rRNA from 1 species
UACAGAGGGGGCAAGCGUUAUUCGGAAUUAUUGGGCGUAAAGGGCGCGUAGGCGGCUUGGCAAGUGGAUGGUGAAAUCCCUCGGCUUAACCGAGGAACCGCGCCGCAAACUGCUUCGCUUGAGACCGGGAGAGGUGAGUGGAAUUCCCAGUGUAGCGGUGAAAUGCGUAGAUAUUGGGAGGAACACCAGUGGCGAAGGCGGCUCACUGGACCGGUACUGACGCUGAUGCGCGAAAGCUAGGGGAGCAAACAGG